GACGAACGCUGGCGGCGUGCUUAGCACAUGCAAGUCGUACGGAGUGGCGAACGGGUGAGUAACACGUGAGUAACCUGUCCACAACUUUGGGAUAACGCUAGGAAACUGGUGCUAAUACUGGAUAGUUGUGGAUGGACUCGCGGCCUAUCAGCUUGUUGGUGGGGUAGUGGCCUACCAAGGCGGCGACGGGUAGCCGGCCUGAGAGGGUGACCGGCCACAUUGGGACUGAGAUACGGCCCAGACUCCUACGGGAGGCAGCAGUGGGGAAUAUUGCACAAUGGGCGCAAGCCUGAUGCAGCAACGCCGCGUGCGGGAUGACGGCCUUCGGGUUGUAAACCGCUUUCAGCAGGGACGCGGUACCUGCAGAAGAAGCACCGGCUAACUACGUGCCAGCAGCCGCGGUGAUACGUAGGGUGCGAGCGUUGUCCGGAUUUAUUGGGCGUAAAGGGCUCGUAGGCGGUUGAUCGCGUCGGAAGUGGAAACUUGAUGCUUAACAUUGAGCGUGCUUUCGAUACGGGUUGACUUGAGGAAGGUAGGGGAGAAUGGAAUUCCUGGUGGAGCGGUGGAAUGCGC
rnacentral:rRNA from 1 species